UGCUCUUCAGAUCAUGCAGAGAUCCACAGCUAAGCACUGGUUGGAGCUCCCGGAGUCCAGUUGAAGCAAAGGAGGAGAGAUUAUAUGAGCAAAGGGGACAAGAUCAUGAUGGGGAAACCCACAGAGACCUGA